rnacentral:rRNA from 1 species
UACGUAGGUGGCAAGCGUUGUCCGGAUUUAUUGGGUUUAAAGGGUGCGUAGGCGGCUUUGUAAGUCAGUGGUGAAAUAUGGCAGCUCAACUGUCAGGGUGCCAUUGAUACUGCAGAGCUUGAGUACAGAUGAGGUAGGCGGAAUUGACGGUGUAGCGGUGAAAUGCUUAGAUAUCGUCAAGAACACCUAUAGCGAAGGCAGCUUACUAGGCUGUAACUGACGCUGAGGCACGAAAGCGUGGGGAGCAAACAGG